rnacentral:rRNA from 1 species
AUUGAACGGCGGCCGCAGGCCUAACACAUCCAACUCGAGCGCAGGAGGGGAGCUUCCUCCUUUAUUGAGCGGCGGACGGGUGAGUAAUGUCUAGGAAUCUGCCUGGUAGAGGGGGACAACGUUUCGAAAGGAACGCUAAUACCGCAUAAGUUCUCAAGGAGAAAGCAGGGGACCUUCGGGCCUUUCGCCAUCAGAUGAGCCCAGAUGGGAUUAGCUAGUUGGUGAGGUAAUGGCUCACCAAGGCGACGAUCCCUAACUGGUCUGAGAGGAUGAUCAGUCACACUGGAACUGAGACACGGUCCAGACUCCUACGGGAGGCAGCAGUGGGGAAUAUUGGACAAUGGGCGAAAGCCUGAUGCAGCCAUGCCGCGUGUAUGAAGAAGGUCUUCGGAUUGUAAAGCACUUUAAGUUGGGAGGAAGGGCAGUAAGUUAAUACC